UACGUAGGGGGCAAGCGUUGUCCGGAUUUAUUGGGCGUAAAGAGCGUGUAGGCGGCCUGAAAGGUCAGCUGUGAAAACUCGAGGCUCAACCUCGAGACGUCGGUUGAAACCAUCUGGCUAGAGUCCGGAAGAGGAGAGUGGAAUUCCCGGUGUAGCGGUGAAAUGCGCAGAUAUCGGGAAGAACACCCGUGGCGAAGGCGGCCAUCUGGACCAGCACUGACGCUGAGGCACGAAAGCGUGGGGAGCAAACAGG
rnacentral:rRNA from 1 species